AGGGAAGCGCUCUCAGCAGAGAGGGUCGCCCUCACCAAGAAGCCAAAGGGAAGAGGACAGAAUCUAUCUUGUAGGGACGCCCUUGGUCUUCAGAAGGAACACUUUUUCUGUUUCACAGAGAUCUGUGGAAUGUGUGGGUUCCCUGAAGAGGUGGACGGACCCCCGGGGUCGCGCGUUUUCUCAGCCCUGGGCCCGUAGCGGAGCUCGAUCCUUCCAGAGCUCAGGGCCAGAAAUGUUGCGAUUCCGAACACUUUGCCUUUCUUCUGAGAGGAGCCGCCCGGCAGACGCUCAUCAUUAAGAAGCAACGUAAUUAACAACGAAUGUUUCCCCUUGGCGCUAAUGCGAACACCCUGGGGAACUGCCAAGUCUGCCUGUAUCCUGACCAUCCUUGCCCCCGACUCCUCUCCCAGCAGCUGAGUGGCUUUUUGGACUGGGUUCUUUUUCCGAACUGCCAGCACCAACUUCCGUGCGUCUUACCUGUGCUUCAGCCGAAGUUUAACCCCUCCUGACCACGCUGCUUUCCUGUGCUGGGGGCCAGAGGUGAGGUGUUCUGGGCUGACGAAGUUAGAGGCACCAGUAUCUGCAUGGCCUGGGUCUGUGCACACAUCUCUGUCAACAAUAGGAAAAGAAGAAGCUGAGCAUGAUGGUGUUCAUGGACAGGAGCACAAAUGAAUCUUAAAAACCGAAAAAGCACAUGAAAACGAACCCCGGAGCCAGAGCAAAGCAGCACAGCUAAGUGCAGGGUUCUAAGCCUGCACCUAACAAAGUUCUCUGCCCUACGAAGGCGAAUCCACUACUGAGUGUCGUGUCUUCCUUUUUUAUCCAUGUUCCUCUGAAGCAAUAAAGCAUUAUUUCCCAAUCUCAGAAAACCCAGAUUUUCUAAGCAAAAAGGAAGAAAGUUAUAUUAACUGUUAUAAAGACAAACUCCCCUGUAAUUUGGUUUUGGUAAUAAGGGAAAAACUGGAUUCACUGAAGCAAACUGUCAAACGAGGUGGUUUGAAACCAAGCCUCUGCCACCUCACUUCUCAAGUUCUCUUUAAGGAGCGGGAUCUCCAAGUGUAACAGGCCUUGCUCUGUUCAGUGGGUGGCAGCUCAGAAGCACAUGCCAACUCUUGAGCUUGAGCUAUUUCAGAUUGUUUAGAUUCCACUGCACUGGGAGGCAA
rnacentral:lncRNA from 1 species